AAGUCGUAACAAGGUUUCCGUAGGUGAACCUGCGGAAGGAUCAUUAACACGUAUCCACGUAUCCACCCUUCGUGCACUCGUUUCCCCUCCCUGUUGAUCCACAUGCAAUGGAACUCUGUAGCGCUUUGAUUGGGACCCGUCACACGGUCGGCGCUGCGAGAACACUGGAGAAGCUUCGGCUCCUCUGACAUUGGUAGUGGAACGGCAGGCAACAUUUCUAUCAGGAGCGUCUCCAAUCAAGACGUGACUGGUGGAUGCAAAUUCACACCUUUCACCCCCUUUUUGCUAGUUGACUUUUUUAAUGUUGAGUUUCCUGUAUUCAUUUACAUGUUGCUCACACGUUUAAUUACUUGAACGUUAAAAUACAACUCUUAGCGAUGGAUAUCUAGGUUCUC
rnacentral:misc_RNA from 1 species